AAAUAAAUUUUUUAUGGUUUAAUAAUUUUAUUUUAAGUUUAUUUUACAUAUAAAUUUUAGUGUUAAUUUUGAAUUAUUUUAAUAAUAAUUUAUAUUUUAAAGUAGUAAUUAAUAUUAAUUAUUUAAGAAAUUAAGAUUUAGUAAUACUUUAAUUAAUAACAAAUUUUGUGCCAGCAGUUGCGGUUAUACAAAAAUUAAAUUAAAUUUUAUUAGUAAUUAAUAAAUAAUUUUAGAAUAUAAUAAAAAUUAAAUUAUUAGGUGAAAUUUUAAUUUAUUAACUUUUAUAAAAAGUUAUGAUUUAAUAAAUUUUAUAAAAAACUAGGAUUAGAUACCCUAUUAUUAAAAUUUAAAAUUAAAAUACUAAAAUAGUAAAUAAUUAUUUAUUGAAACUUAAAUAAUUUGGCGGUAUUUUAGUUCAUUUAGAGGAAUCUGUUUAAUAAUUGAUAAUCCACGAAUAAAUUUACUUAAUUUAUAAUUUUGUAUAUCGUUGUUAAAAAAAUAUUUUUUAAUAAAAUUAAUAUUUAAAAAUUAUAAUAUAAAUUUAAAUCAGAUCAAGAUGCAGAAUAUAAUUAAGAAUAUAAUGGAUUACAAUAAAUUUAUUUAAAUGAAUAUUAAUUUGUAAAAUUAGUUGAAGGUGGAUUUAAAUGUAAUUUUAUUUAGUUUAAUAAAAUGAUUUUUAAUUAAAAUAUGUACAUAUUGCCCGUCGCUUUCAUAUAAUAAUAAGUUGAAAUAAGUCGUAACAAAGUAGAGGUACUGGAAAGUGUUUCUAGAAAGAA
rnacentral:ncRNA from 1 species